rnacentral:rRNA from 1 species
GAUGAACGUUGACAGAAUGCUUAACACAUGCAAGUCUUUGGCGAAGCUGUGCUUGCACAGCCUAGCCAAGGCGGACGGGUGAGUAACGCGUAAGGAACUUGCCCUGCAGUCAGGGAUAACAGACGGAAACGACUGAUAAGACCUGGUAAAGUCAGGCGGACUCAUGUCCAGCCUGAUGAAAAGAGAUGCUGCAGGAGAGCCUUGCGUCCUAUUAGCUUGUUGGUGGGGUAACGGCCCACCAAGGCGAUGAUAGGUAGCCGGCCUGAGAGGGUGGACGGCCACAAGGGGACUGAGAUACGGCCCUUACUCCUACGGGAGGCGGCAGUGGGGAAUAUUGGACAAUGGGGGCAACCCUGAUCCAGCAAUUCUGUGUGCACGAUGAAGGUUUUCGGAUUGUAAAGUGCUUUCAGCAGGGAAGAAAAAAAUGACGGUACCUGCAGAAGAAGCGACGGCUAAAUACGUG